AAAAAAUAGAAGUCUUCUCUCUCUUGUCCUUGUGAGAUAUCUUCUCUACAAGUUGCUUUCUCUUUCCUCUCCACACCAAUAAAAUUCAAUAAAAUCAUCACAGUGAUGCAAGUCCAACUCAUGUUUUAUUAUCGAUGCAGAUCCCAAACUCUCCUCGCUUGGAAUCGAUCUUGCAAUUCAUUUCAACAAACUUCUUCAUUCAGAUCUGGCCCCCAACAUGUCAUCAGUCUUCACCUUCAACUCUUCAAGCUCCAUUGCAUGGUGAUCCAACUGAUUUGUUGAGGGAAAAUCGGCUGCUCCUGUGACUAAAGAAGGACUUGGAAGAGCCACUCAAACUUUUCUUCACACUCCUGCUGCUCAGAGGUUCUUGCUCUGCUAGUAAAAAUGAGGAUAUCUCCUCACUUGCUUAUAGAAUUUCUUUUCUCUAUCACUGGGGCAGAUUACCAUUGCAGAAUAAACAAUGUGGGCACUAGAAUUGAAUUUCUAGUUUCCAUUUUAAUUUGCCAACUUUUGGAACUGGAUUCUCUUCUGAUGAAAGCUUAUCUGGUUGUUAUGCAAUGCUGCCAGCUGCAACUGAAGGACAAAUAAAGUCAUUGGCAAACAACUUGGAGUUGUGUUUGGAAAAAAGAUGACAUGAGGAAGAACAGUAUUGCUCCUUCACUAUGGACCUGUUCUAUAGGGCACAUGUCAAUCAACAUACUCCUGGGAUAGCACACAUGCUUUGUGAAUAAGUAAAGUAAAUAAAAGCUAGUCCUGAGUGUAAUUUUUUUUGUCCUUUUUAUACAGCAUCUCAGCAAGGAAAAUUUCUCCUGGAACAAUAAUCUAGUGUUUAGUUUAUUUUAAUUGUGCACUCUCGGAUGAUCUUACAAUGGUUGGAUGUGCAAUAUUUGAUCAUCUUACAAUGGUUGGAUAUGCAAUAUUUUUCAUAAGUUAUGAUUCAUAUUCUUUUCAUAAGCCACAGAGUUGGAGAACAUUUAGUAUUCCUUUA